UCUCAAUGUUGCUAUAAGGCUUUUCUUGCCACCUCUAGGAAAGGUUUUCCACAAGGUGGGACACUUAUGGACUCAAUAUCCCAUCGGCUAGUUACCUCAGCAAUAUAUACCUGACUAUUCUUGGACUUCUCAGUUACAUAAAAAAUAAAUUCCUUCUUAUUCUCUUAAACCAAUUUGAAUUUGGUUUCUGUCACUUACAAGAGCCCUGACUAAAACUGAGCUUCUUUAAAAGAGCUCUUCACCAGUAAGGAUAAUGGUAAAUGAUCAGAUUUCUCUUCAUAACUUUGAAUAUAGGAGUAGUACGCAGUAUGAGCAAAAGCUGAAAGAGCAUGCAGAGAAUACGGUAAUUUAGGCUGUGAUGAAAAGGAACUCACUGUUUUCUGAUUCGCCAUCUGCAGUGGAACCGCUGCCCAGAUGCAGAUUUUUGUAAAAACCCUUAUGGGGAAGACUGUCAUGCUCAAGGGUGAACCUUUAGAUACUAUAUGUCAAGGCCAAGAUCCAGGAUAAGGAAGGAAUGCCUCCUGAUCAGCAAAAGACUGAUCUUUACUGGUAAGCAAUUGGAAGAUGGACGUAUUUUGUCAGACUACAACAUUCAAAAGGAGUCUACCCUUCAUCUUAAGUUGAGACUUUGUGGUGGUGCUAGGAAAAGGAAGUCUUAUACCAUUCCCAGGAAGAAUAAGCAUAGGAGAAAGGUUAAGUUGGCUGUCCUGAAAUAUUAUAAGGUCGAUGAAAAGGGCAAAAUUAGUUGCCUUCAUCAUGAGUGUCCUUCAGAAGAAUGUGGUGCUGGAGUUUUUAUGGCUAGCCAUUUUGACAGACAUUACUGUUGUCUAAUUGCUUCAAUAAACCAGAAGACAAGUAA